AGGCACGAAAGCCAGUGCCAAACCCAGCGCGGUGACAGCGGGUUACAGACGUGCCCGUUCAUUGCUUCUGACCGCGGCGUGAGCACAAAACAUUCCUGUGUACGCCUUAAAGCGCUUCCCUGAACUCGUUCGCCAUUUCUGCAACCAGAGACCUUGCUGGACGCCCGUGAGACGGCGGCGGGGACCACGAUGGACACGCAGGUUGGACUGUAAUUUGUGAAGAUACUGGAUGACAGGUCUUUGUCUGCCUGGCUGUUACAAAGAGGAGGUUGGCAUACUAGAGUUUUUCUCCAGGAGGACAACAUUUCAAAAGUCCCAUACAACCCAUGACCUACAACAGAGAACAAAGCGAGUGUUUAAAGUACAAAUCCUGAAUUACAUGGAAAAAUGUAAAGUGGACAUGCUAAAAGGCUCGAAGGAGACACAGCUGGAUGCUACCAGUGCUUGAAGGAAACGUUCUGCAGAAGAGAGAAAUUAUUAUGGAGGUGUAAACCACAGAAGUCUGUUUGCUACCUGCCUAGCAAACCUUACUGCCAGUGCUUGAGUUUCUAUGUUGUGAAGAUGUGUUUGGAGGACACAGACCUCUGCUCUCUCGUAGUGAACCUGAGCUGGGAAUGCAGCCAUUGACCAAAUACCAGGAAAGAGAAAACCACAAUUUGCUCUUACAUAAUCUUCAAGACUACCCUAAAAUGGAAUCUGAUUUAGAGAGCUGCUCAACUAAAUGCAUGAAGAGGCGUCACCACAUGUGCUCCACAAAGCCAAGAGAAAAAUAUUUGGAUACUCUCCUAUUUUAGGAUAGGUUCCUUUUGUUGUUUGCUACACAAUCUGUGCACUAGGAACUGGUAUUUUCCUUCAGUUGUACAGUUUGUGAUUUCUCUGUCCAUUUAUAUGAUAGCUACGGAAUUAUCAUUUACCUUUAAGAGGACAUGCUUAAAUGACAAAGUUGCACACUUUUUGCACCAGUGGCACUCCUGACCUGAUCCAGUUUAGUCUGAGAAAAAAAUUAGGCCCAAACUCAAGCACAAAUUAGGCUUGGCAGUCAAAAGAUUAGCUGUAUUUAGCUGGGAUGGGAUUUACCUAACCUAAUUUACCUCUCUAAAUACUGACUGUAAACACAACUUGGGUAACAGUCUUCAACACAGUAACUCGCAGAUGUUCAUAUAAGUCUAGCCCACAAAGAUUAGGGCAGAUAUCUCCAUGGAAGCAUUCUUUCACUUCUCUGUCAUUUCAGAGUUUUCAUUUUUUUUUACAUCCCUAAUCAAUUUGCACCAAUUAACUCUAUUUCUCUUGCUAUCUACUCUAGGUAAUAUUAAUGAGAUGAAGGAAAUUUUUUCCUUGUAAAUAAAUUGUGUAAUUGCUUCAACUGAUUUUCCCUUUUUAAUAGAGAUUUAGCCACAAAUCUGUAAUCAUUUAGAACAACUUGUUCAUUAUUCACGGUCAUUCAGUAAAUAAUAAAUAUGAAUUCAAACAGCUAAUGGGCUACUGGAGAUUUUUUCCUGCUGACAUUUG